rnacentral:misc_RNA from 1 species
GAUGAAGAACGUAGUGAAAUGCGAUAAGUAAUGUGAAUUGCAGAAUUCAGUGAAUCAUCGAAUCUUUGAACGCACAUUGCGCCCGCCAGUAUUCUGGCGGGCAUGCCUGUCCGAGCGUCAUUUCAACCCUCAAGCCCCCGGGCUUGGUGUUGGAGAUCGGCGAGCCCCCCGGGGCGCGCCGUCUCCCAAAUAUAGUGGCGGUCCCGCUGUAGCUUCCUCUGCGUAGUAGCACACCUCGCACUGGGAAACAGCGUGGCCACGCCGUAAAACCCUCCACUUCUGAAAGGUUGACCUCGGAUCAGGUAGGAAUACCCGCUGAACUUAAGCAUAUCAAUAAGCGGAGGA